rnacentral:sRNA from 1 species
GAUGGCGCAGUAUCCUAGUCAGCCUUGCCGGUUGCGAGGAAGGGCCUAAAAAUCCUUUGUUUGGCAUACCUGUGAACCCCGUGGUGUCUGCUUCUUACGCCCAGUCUGGGGUGGAUGCUGUGGGAAGGCGAUUGCGCCUGCGGCGGACGGGCUAUCUCCAAUGGCAUGGAGAAGAUGACCCGGUCGCUGUGGAGACUGGAUAUUGUGCAGCGGCGAACUCCCUUCGUGGUAUCCGACCGUUGUACGAUACCGGAUAUGAACCUGCAUUGCGGUGCUAACCGGCUUUAUGCCGUGAACGCUGUGUGCAGAGUAGCCUGCCUUGCGUGGGCCGGCCGGGAAAGGGAAGCUGAUGCGCCGAGCGCUCAUGGCCUUGAGCACAGGCGAUAUUCCCUUGAAAGACGGUCUGCAAAAGAGGAUAAGAGCCGGAAAAAGCUGUGGUGGAAAUCACCUAGGCUGUCGAAAGGGCUUUUAUGGGAUUGCGGUACGGACUAAGUGGCAAUCGGGUAGUGGUCAUGGUGACAGACCAACGCGAGCAUGAAAGGGGAACCACCUCCAUCGGCGACGAGAGGAUGCUCCCGGGGAAAACAAACCCGACCUAAGCCGUAAGAUUAACCAUAAGAGCUGCCAUUGCACCU